GGAUUAGAUACCCUGGUAGUCCACACCGUAAACGAUGAAUGCUAGUCGACCGGUUCGUUUACCGACUGGGUGACGCAGUUAACGCAUUAGGCAUUCCGCCUGGGGAGUACGGUCGCAAGAUUAAAACUCAAAGGAAUUGACGGGGGCCCGCACAAGCGGUGGAGUAUGUGGUUUAAUUCGACGCAACGCGCAGAACCUUACCCAAUCUUAACAUCCCGUGAACGAAACAGAAAUGUAUCGGUGCCCUUUUGGGAACACGGUGAUAGGUGCUGCAUGGCUGUCGUCAGCUCGUGCCG
rnacentral:rRNA from 1 species